GUCCCAAAGCUGACAUCAAACUGAGGAUCAAGUCCAAAAGUAUCAAGGUUACACACUGUUACACUCCCUGAGAACCACCACCAGAGCCCUGGGACAUGGAAAACAACACAUCUAUUUACUGGACCAACAUCACUGGGAAAAACCUUCAUGGUCUAUGAGGGCAUUGCUGGACAAAAGCAAGGACACUGCAAGUGAACAAGAGCCAUGCAGCCCUUCAGACAUAUUACAGUCAAAGACAAAGAAUUCAUGACCUCUGCAGUUCUGCUUGUCCUUGAGUCCUAUAAUGAAUAUUCAGCAGAUUAGAAGACAGACAUGAAAGUUAACAUUAG
ensembl:lncRNA